UACGAAGGGUGCAAGCGUUACUCGGAAUUACUGGGCGUAAAGCGUGCGCAGGCGGUUGUGUAAGACAGAUGUGAAAUCCCCGGGCUCAACCCGUGGACUGCAUUUGUGACUGCACAGCUGGAGUGCGGCAGAGGGGGAUGGAAUUCCGCGUGUAGCAGUGAAAUGCGUAGAUAUGCGGAGGAACACCGAUGGCGAAGGCAAUCCCCUGGGCCUGCACUGACGCUCAUGCACGAAAGCGUGGGGAGCAAACAGG
rnacentral:rRNA from 1 species